rnacentral:sRNA from 1 species
AAACAUUCAUAAGAACUUCGGCUUCACCAUCAAAUCUUUGACAAUCAAGAAGCUUGGUUAGCGGAUUUGUAGUCAAAUAUGACUAGAUGCUUUGUGUAUCAUUGAGUAUAAGAUCU